rnacentral:rRNA from 1 species
GACGAACGCUGGCGGCGUGCUUAACACAUGCAAGUCGAACGGAAAGGCCCUGCUUUUGUGGGGUGCUCGAGUGGCGAACGGGUGAGUAACACGUGAGUAACCUGCCCUUGACUUUGGGAUAACUUCAGGAAACUGGGGCUAAUACCGGAUAGGAGCUCCUGCUGCAUGGUGGGGGUUGGAAAGUUUCGGCGGUUGGGGAUGGACUCGCGGCUUAUCAGCUUGUUGGUGGGGUAGUGGCUUACCAAGGCUUUGACGGGUAGCCGGCCUGAGAGGGUGACCGGCCACAUUGGGACUGAGAUACGGCCCAGACUCCUACGGGAGGCAGCAGUGGGGAAUAUUGCACAAUGGGCGGAAGCCUGAUGCAGCAACGCCGCGUGCGGGAUGACGGCCUUCGGGUUGUAAACCGCUUUCGCCUGUGACGAAGCGUGAGUGACGGUAAUGGGUAAAGAAGCACCGGCUAACUACGUGCCAGCAGCCGCGGUGAUACGUAGGGUGCGAGCGUUGUCCGGAUUUAUUGGGCGUAAAGGGCUCGUAGGUGGUUGAUCGCGUCGGAAGUGUAAUCUUGGGGCUUAACCCUGAGCGUGCUUUCGAUACGGGUUGACUUGAGGAAGGUAGGGGAGAAUGGAAUUCCUGGUGGAGCGGUGGAAUGCGCAGAUAUCAGGAGGAACACCAGUGGCGAAGGCGGUUCUCUGGGCCUUUCCUGACGCUGAGGAGCGAAAGCGUGGGGAGCGAACAGGCUUAGAUACCCUGGUAGUCCACGCUGUAAACGGUGGGUACUAGGUGUGGGGUCCAUUCCACGGGUUCCGUGCCGUAGCAAACGCUUUAAGUACCCCGCCUGGGGAGUACGGCCGCAAGGCUAAAACUCAAAGGAAUUGACGGGGCCCCGCACAAGCGGCGGAGCAUGCGGAUUAAUUCGAUGCAACGCGUAGAACCUUACCUGGGUUUGACAUGGAUCGGGAGUGCUCAGAGAUGGGUGUGCCUCUUUUGGGGUCGGUUCACAGGUGGUGCAUGGCUGUCGUCAGCUCGUGUCGUGAGAUGUUGGGUUAAGUCCCGCAACGAGCGCAACCCUUGUUCACUGUUGCCAGCACGUUAUGGUGGGGACUCAGUGGAGACCGCCGGGGUCAACUCGGAGGAAGGUGGGGAUGACGUCAAGUCAUCAUGCCCCUUAUGUCCAGGGCUUCACGCAUGCUACAAUGGCUGGUACAGAGAGUGGCGAGCCUGUGAGGGUGAGCGAAUCUCGGAAAGCCGGUCUCAGUUCGGAUUGGGGUCUGCAACUCGACCUCAUGAAGUCGGAGUCGCUAGUAAUCGCAGAUCAGCAACGCUGCGGUGAAUACGUUCCCGGG